rnacentral:rRNA from 1 species
AUGGGUUCUGGUGGCAAGUGUCUGGCGUUGGCCGCGCUGCUGCUCGUGAGCUGCGCGUCGACGGCGACCGCGGCGAAGUACACCGUCGGCGACACCUCCGGCUGGACCACCGGGGCGGACUACACCACCUGGGCCAGCGACAAGAAGAUCAAAGUCGGCGACACCCUCGUGUUCAACUACGCCGGUGGGGCGCACAACGUGGCGGAGGUGAGCGCGGCGGACUACGCGUCCUGCUCCGCCGCGAACGCGCUCAGCAGCGACGGCAGCGGCGCCACCACCAUCGCGCUCAAGACCGCGGGGAAGCACUACUUCAUCUGCGGCGUCACCGGCCACUGCAGCAACGGCAUGAAGCUCGUGGUCAACGUCGCCGCCGCCACCGCCGCCUCGCCGCCCAAGGCGUCCCCGACCCCGGAUACCCCCGACACCCCCUCCACCACCCCGACGUCCCCGUCCACCCCCGGCGCCACGCCCAAGACCCCGGCGACCGUGCUCGCGCCCCCGGCCAAGCAGUCGGAGUCCGGCGCCACCGGGCUCAGGGCCACGGCGCUGACUGGCCUGGGCAUCGCCGGGCUUGUGGCCGCGGGUCUCUUCUAG